rnacentral:rRNA from 1 species
AGGGAAUAUUGGACAAUGGGCGAAAGCCUGAUCCAGCCAUGCCGCGUGUGUGAAGAAGGUCUUCGGAUUGUAAAGCACUUUAAGUUGGGAGGAAGGGCUGCAAGUUAAUACCUUGUAGUUUUGACGUUACCAACAGAAUAAGCACCGGCUAACUUCGUGCCAGCAGCCGCGGUAAUACGAAGGGUGCAAGCGUUAAUCGGAAUUACUGGGCGUAAAGCGCGCGUAGGUGGUUUGGUAAGAUGGAUGUGAAAUCCCCGGGCUCAACCUGGGAACUGCAUCCAUAACUGCCUGACUAGAGUACGGUAGAGGGUGGUGGAAUUUCCUGUGUAGCGGUGAAAUGCGUAGAUAUAGGAAGGAACACCAGUGGCGAAGGCGACCACCUGGACUGAUACUGACACUGAGGUGCGGAAGCGUGGGGAGCAAACA